rnacentral:lncRNA from 1 species
UGACACCAUUACCCUAAAAAUAUCAUCUUUUUUUGGUAAUACAGCCUAUAAAUAUGUAGCUAAGAUACUAAAACACUUUCAUUUUCACUUUCAAACAGGAGCUAUUUCACGGCACAGAAUAUGCUGUUCUGAAAGAUAUCUGAAGUAAAUUGAUGUUUUUGCCAUCAGAAAGUUUUGUUUAUGCUAGCAGGAAGUUGCUAGGCAAGAAAAUGCACACAUAUUUAAAGUCACAGCGAAAAGGAUCAGACAUGCAUGCAGUCAUUUUGACCAAUAUGGUAAUUUAGGGCAGAAAUGCUCAGUUCUUUACUGUUUUGUAACAAAAAAUAAUAAUAAUAACAAUGUCAGAAAGAAAUACACUGAUAGUUAGAAAACGGCAGGGUGUUAUUUGUUAGUUUUAUUUCAAAGAGUUAUACAAUUACAAAAAUUAAAAACUCUCUGUGUAUCUAUCCACUGGAACCUGCAGAUGAGUGAUUAAUCCGCUGAUAAAUCAGCUGAUUUGAUGAUGUUUUUAAAUGCUUUCUUCAAAGCUUGAAACGCUGUCAGUGAUGUAAUCCGCACACAAGCAGCCAAUAGUGUUCAGCUUUUUCUGACGACUCCUCCCUCAAAUUUUCAUUGGCUGUGGUUUGGUAGCUUGAAUGAGCUGAUGGGGAAUGAGUUGUUAUCAGAUCAUGUAGUGUGUGACCCCCCUCUUGUGGAUUAUUCACGGAGUGUUGCGUAGUGUGAACACCACAGAGAUCAAAAGACACAAAGUCAAGUCAUGUAGUGUGAACGGCACAGCGAUCUGCUGAUGUUUAAAAUCCUGUAGUGUGAACCAGGCUUUAAGUUAUAAUGAGAUUUUAGCAAUAUUGAGUUUAAAUUUUACCUCAUACUUGGGUCAUUUAGGCCUAAUUGUACCCUUUAAGCCCUUACCUGUCCCAACAACAUGCCUCCAAAACUGACUAAGGAGACCCACUAAUGUAAAAAAGGAGCUGUGAUGUUCAGUAAAGAUGGAUGGUUUAUGCUUUCUUUAAAAACAAAAUAAAAGAUUGUGCAUAUUUAGGAUUGUUUUAGGGGUGAUAAUUCACAUAAACAAAGCCAAACAAAUAUCUUUGGUUUGAACGUUUACUACUAAAUGAUGUGAACAUCCUUACGAUCACUCAUUUUGAUGCAACAAUACAAAUUAAAUUGUGUAACUCGGGUUUUCUCAGCAGUCCAUUAUGCAUGGGAAUGUUUAAUGGGCCAUGAGUAUUUAGUAGAUUCAGACCAGGGCAGGCAAGGAACUUCCCCAAUCAAUGCUAAUGUUCACCCAUCAAGAGGAAAUGCUGUGAACUGCUGUCGCCACUGGCUUGCAUGGUUCGUGACCUGUGGAGCUGCGUAUCGAUGGAUUUGCUCUUCAGUGUUUGAACUCUCAGCAGUUAAUAUUAAAUCACACUAAACUGAACUUCAACUCUAAAAACUGGACUUACACCGUUUCAGUUUACUAUAACUGUCUAUGUAAAGCUGCUGUGACUCAAUCUUCAUUGUAAAAGCGCUAUUGAAAUAAAGAUGAAUGGAGUUG